rnacentral:rRNA from 1 species
GCGAAACGGGAUUAGCCCAAACCAAGAGGCUUGCCUCUUGGGGUUGUAGGACACUCUGUACGGAGUUACAAAGGAACGAGGUAGAUGAAGAGGUCUGGAAAGGCCCGCCAUAGGAGGUAACAGCCCUGUAGUCAAAACUUCGUUCUCUCCUGAGUGGAUCCUGAGUACGGCGGAACACGUGAAAUUCCGUCGGAAUCCGGGAGGACCAUCUCCCAAGGCUAAAUACUCCCUAGUGACCGAUAGUGAACCAGUACCGUGAGGGAAAGGUGAAAAGCACCCCGGAAGGGGAGUGAAAGAGAUCCUGAAACCGUGUGCCUACAAGUAGUCAGAGCCCGUUAACGGGUGAUG